ACCAGUGUGGCACAGUGGUUUGAGUGUUGGACUAUGACUCUGGAGAGCAGGGUUUGAUUCUCCUCUCUGCUA